rnacentral:rRNA from 1 species
UACGAAGGAUGCAAGCGUUAUCCGGAUUUAUUGGGCGUAAAGGGCGCGUAGGCGGUGCGGUAAAUCACCUGUGAAAUCUCCUGGCUCAACUGGGAGCUUGCAGGCGAAACUGCCGUGCUGGAGUGUGGGAGAGGUGCGUGGAAUUCCUGGUGUAGCGGUGAAAUGCGUAGAUAUCAGGAGGAACACCUGUGGCGAAAGCGGCGCACUGGACCACAACUGACGCUGAGGCGCGAAAGCUAGGGGAGCAAACAGG